UACAGGGGGGGCAAGCGUUGUUCGGAAUUACUGGGCGUAAAGGGCCAGUAGGCGGCCAACUAAGUCACACGUGAAAUCCCCAGGCUUAACCUGGGAACUGCGUGUGAUACUGGAUGGCUUGAAUUCGGGAGAGGGAUGCAGAAUUCCAGGUGUAGCGGUGAAAUGCGUAGAUAUCUGGAGGAAUACCGGUGGCGAAGGCGGCAUCGUGGACCGACAUUGACGCUGAACGGCGAAAGCUAGGGGAGCAAACGGG
rnacentral:rRNA from 1 species